AGCUAACCCGUUCCGUGAAUGGGAGGCAGCGGCCGAGGGCAGGGGUCGCGACUGGGACGAAGUCGUAACAAGGUAUCCGUAGCGGAAGCUGCGGAUGGAUCACCUCCUUUCUAGGGAGC
rnacentral:rRNA from 1 species